rnacentral:rRNA from 1 species
UGGGGAAUAUUGCACAAUGGGCGCAAGCCUGAUGCAGCCAUGCCGCGUGUGUGAAGAAGGCCUUCGGGUUGUAAAGCACUUUCAGCGAGGAGGAAGGUGGUGAGCUUAAUACGCUCAUCAAUUGACGUUACUCGCAGAAGAAGCACCGGCUAACUCCGUGCCAGCAGCCGCGGUAAUACGGAGGGUGCAAGCGUUAAUCGGAAUUACUGGGCGUAAAGCGCACGCAGGCGGUUUGUUAAGUCAGAUGUGAAAUCCCCGGGCUCAACCUGGGAACUGCAUUUGAAACUGGCAAGCUAGAGUCUCGUAGAGGGGGGUAGAAUUCCAGGUGUAGCGGUGAAAUGCGUAGAGAUCUGGAGGAAUACCGGUGGCGAAGGCGGCCCCCUGGACGAAGACUGACGCUCAGGUGCGAAAGCGUGGGGAGCAAACAGAUUAGAUACCCUGGUAGUCCACGCUGUAAACGAUGUCGAUUUUGGAGGUUGUGCCCCUUGAGGCGUGGNUUCCGGAGCUAACG